GGAGUUUGGUCCGUGUCUCAGUACCAAUGUGGGGGACCUUCCUCUCAGAACCCCUACUGAUCGUCGCCUUGGUGGGCCGUUACCCCGCCAACUGGCUAAUCAGACGCAUCCCCAUCCCUUACCGAUGAAUCUUUGCUCCUCGUUAGAUGCCCGCAAAGGAGAAACAUAGGGCAUUAAUCCGACUUUCGCCGGGCUAUCCUCUAGUAAGGGGAAGGUUGGAUACGCGUUACUCACCCGUGCGCCGGUCGCCAUCAAAGGAAGCAAGCUUCCUUCAUGCUGCCCCACGACUUGCAUGUGUUAAGCCUGUAGCUAGCGUUCAUC
rnacentral:rRNA from 1 species